UCUGGAACUCAGGGAGCAAGACCC
rnacentral:sRNA from 1 species